rnacentral:rRNA from 1 species
AGUGAACGCUGGCGGUAGGCCUAACACAUGCAAGUCGAACGGCAGCACAGUAAGGGCUUGCUCUUACGGGUGGCGAGUGGCGGACGGGUGAGGAAUACAUCGGAAUCUACUUUUUCGUGGGGGAUAACGUAGGGAAACUUACGCUAAUACCGCAUAAGACCUACGGGGGAAAGAAGGGGAUCUUUGGACCUUGCGCGAUUGAAUGAGCCGAUGUCGGAUUAGCUAGUUGGCGGGGUAAAGGCCCACCAAGGCGACGAUCCGUAGCUGGGCUGAGAGGAUGAUCAGCCACACUGGAACUGAGACACGGUCCAGACUCCUACGGGAGGCAGCAGUGGGGAAUAUUGGACAAUGGGCGCAAGCCUGAUCCAGCCAUACCGCGUGGGUGAAGAAGGCCUUCGGGUUGUAAAGCCCUUUUGUUGGGAAAGAAAAGCAGCAGGUUAAUACCCCGCUGUUCUGACGGUACCCAAAGAAUAAGCACCGGCUAACUUCGUG